rnacentral:sRNA from 1 species
AGAUAAAACGUUCAAUCGGGGAAAUUUCCCCUCUGAUAACUGUCUAUUUUCAUCUAUUUCGGCGUCUUUUGUCUCCCAAAAACCAGGAGUCUGCUCUUAUUAAAGCCUUAGGUUAAUGUUUUUGCUAUUUUUUUACUGCAUGAAUAAAGAA